rnacentral:rRNA from 1 species
AUGACUUUCCCUUCUUCACGAAGCCAUGUCUUCUCCUACCCCACGCCUUUUCUUUCUCUCCCAAAAAAUAGCAUCACACAAGCUAGGGUUGCCGCCGCCGCCGCUGCCGCGCGCAUCCCAGCUCCUCCAGCGCCCGCCACCGGAGAAGGCGCCCUCCUCUCCCUCGGCGGUUGCCACUCUGGCUGCGGUGGCGCAGGCACAUGGACCGGGCCCGGCUCCAGCCGCGGCAACGCAAGGGGAGAAAGCGAACCCACGCCGAACGGGGUGCUGAUGGUCGACCUGCUGGGGGCGCCGGGAACGCGCUGGGGGCGUGGGACCUGCCUCACACAGGCGCUGCUCGCAGCAGCUGCCAUGGCCUCCACCGUCCGGGGCUAUGGAUGUACUCCCUCCGGUCCUUUUUACUCUGCACAUUGGUUUUGCCGAAAGUCAAACUUUGCUAAGUUUGACCAAAUUUAUAUUAAAAAUUAUUAG